rnacentral:rRNA from 1 species
AGCGCAACCCUUAUUGUUAGUUGCCAUCAUUCAGUUGGGCACUCUAGCGAGACUGCCGGUAAUAAACCGGAGGAAGGUGGGGAUGACGUCAAAUCAUCAUGCCCCUUAUGACCUGGGCUACACACGUGCUACAAUGGUUGGUACAACGAGUCGCAAGUCGGUGACGGCAAGCAAAUCUCUUAAAGCCAAUCUCAGUUCGGAUUGUAGGCUGCAACUCGCCUACAUGAAGUCGGAAUCGCUAGUAAUCGCGGAUCAGCACGCCGCGGUGAAUACGUGCCCGGGCCUUGUACACACCGCCCGUCACACCACGAGAGUUUGUAACAACCCGAAGUCGGUGAGGUAACCGUAAGGAGCCA